AAUCAACGCUGGCGGCGUGCCUAACACAUGCAAGUCGAACGCGAAAGUCCCGCAAGGGAUGAGUAGAGUGGCAAACGGGUGAGUAACGCGUGGGUGACCUGCCUUCGAGUGGGGGAUAACGUUUCGAAAGGAACGCUAAUACCGCAUGACAUCCUGUCUUUUAACAGGCGGAGAUACAAAGCUGGGGAUCGCAAGACCUGGCGCUUGAAGAGGGCCCGCGUCCGAUUAGCAGUUGGUGGGUAAUGGCUCACCAAGGCAUCGAUCGGUAGCCGGCCUGAGA
rnacentral:rRNA from 1 species